GCUUCCCUGCAGCGUACGUGGGUUCUAAGGUGAUUUGAGCCAACACCCGAACAUUGGGAGCGGAACUCUCGCAUACGUGUGAAUGCCAGGCUUCGGCCAGGAAUCCUGAUAUGCGAGGUCAGAGGGGUUCCCACCUGCGAAAGCAGGUUCAAUGAUCAAGGAUCUACGGCUCUUGCGGGGAAGUU
rnacentral:other from 1 species